rnacentral:misc_RNA from 1 species
UUGGGACGUUUUCCAGUUGCUGGUUCAGAGGAGGAUGCUCAAAAAUUGAUAUCUUUGGUGGCCAGCAUCAAUGGUGGCUUGUCAGACGGGAGGCUUGAAGAGAUAAAUCAAAAAAUUCUUCGCCAUUUCGCAUUCGGUGCUAGGGCUGUCCUUAAUCCUAUGGCUGCAAUGUUUGGUGGUAUUGUUGGGCAGGAGGUUGUGAAGGCCUGCUCUGGGAAGUUCCAUCCGCUUUUUCAGUUUUUCUAUUUUGACUCAGUGGAGUCCCUUCCCACAGAACCUUUAGAACCCAAUGAUUUGAAGCCCUUGAAUAGCCGUUAUGAUGCGCAAAUUUCGGUCUUUGGAUCUAAGCUUCAGAAAAAACUAGAAGAUGCUAACGUUUUUGUGGUAGGAUCUGGUGCCCUUGGGUGUGAG